UACAGAGGUCCCAAGCGUUGUUCGGAUUCACUGGGCGUAAAGGGUGCGUAGGUGGUUGUGCAAGUCGAUUGUGAAAUCUCCGGGCUUAACCCGGAAAGGUCAACCGAUACUGCGGGGCUAGAGUGCAGAAGGGGCAACUGGAAUUCUCGGUGUAGCGGUGAAAUGCGUAGAUAUCGAGAGGAACACCUGCGGCGAAGGCGGUUGCCUGGGGCUUUGCUGACGCUGAUGCGCGAAAGCGUGGGGAGCGAUCCGG
rnacentral:rRNA from 1 species